rnacentral:rRNA from 1 species
CAGUAGCCGCGGGAAAACGAAGGGUGCAAGCGUUACUCGGAAUUACUGGGCGUAAAGCGUGUGUAGGUGGUUGUUUAAGUCUGUCGUGAAAGCCCUGGGCUCAACCUGGGAAUUGCGAUGGAUACUGGGCGACUAGAGUGCGGUAGAGGAUAGUGGAAUUUCCGGUGUAGCAGUGAAAUGCGUAGAGAUCGGAAGGAACAUCUGUGGCGAAGGCGACUAUCUGGGCCAACACUGACACUGAGACACGAAAGCGUGGGGAGCAAACAGGAUUAGAUACCCCAGUAGUCCCUGUCUCUUAUAC